GCGGCCGUUACGCCGGGGCGGAGCCGUUGCAGUGCGGUUACGUUACGGGGGUACUCGCAGUAACACUUAUUUCCAGUGUUGACCUGACUGCAAAAUAUAGGACUUCAUGAAACUGUGAGAAGAGCAGCCUUCUAAGAUAUUGAAAGAUGGGACUCUUUAUAUGACAUCUCUGAAAUACCUCAAGUACCACUCCAGUUCUCUUCGCCGAGCAGAUCAAAGAGGACUUGAGCCAAGACCCACUGAAAGCAGUGGAAUAUAUCAGAUGCUGUUGUGAAGUCUUAACUUAAAAAGAAAAAGAGAGAGGAGGAAAAAAAAACCCAACAGUAUAUGAGUAUGUUUAACUGUUCCUGUAGGUGUAGUUUAUAUUUGAUCAUAUUUUGAAUUUGAGAAUUUUGUGUGUGUGUGUGAACAAUAAAGUGUGUGAGGAAAAAGUGUAUCUAUUGAUCUGUUAUCUACCUGUUUUCUUCCAGUUUGUAAAGCAGGUCCUUAUAGAUUGCUUUAGAGCCUGCUGUACAGGCUCUGUUGGAUGACAAGAACCGUGAGUAUUAAGAGGAAUAUGGUCGUCUAGUUGCAGAAAAUGCAAGUGUCAAACAUCUUUUUUUCUUUUGAGAAAGCACAGAGUGCAGCAUAGACAAGUCCUCUGGAUCAUAUCUGUGGAGGGAAUGAGAGAGAUUUUUAUCUUAAAAAUAAUCAGUAUUUUACCUAAAAAUACUAUUGUAUGACUGUUUAUGUAUGUAUCUAGACUUAACCUUUAGGGGAGGGAGAUAUUUUAAAACUCCCUCAAAGGGCUAUGGUAGAAGACCCUUAAUGAAUCUGGUGGCUCGUUUUCAACUGAGCUGCCUAUGCUGACACAUCUGCCACAGGUUACUGUCUCCACAGGAGAGCUGCCGGAAGGGACUCUGUCGUGUAUGCCUCGGGACCUGUCCAGCCUGGCAUCUUAGCUCAGACCGUUGGCAGAGGUGGGUU